UUAUCUGAAAGAAGAAAAAGGAACAGUUACAUUUUGCAUGCAAAGAAAACCAGUGUGGCUAGAUUAUUCCCUUGGGGUAAUGAAGAAAGGAAAAAAGAAAAAAAAAAAAAAAAAAAAAAAAAAAAAGGUCAGGUGAAUAAAGCCGAAGGAAUUCUUAGUGAAACUGGACCGAUGCAAGCUACCACACAGACAGGAACCACAGCGCAUCUUUUCCCUUUUGACAAAUGCCGAAAGAUAAGAGAAUCGGCCAUCUUUCAGAGCUUCUCCUUGUAGCGUAUUUGUUGUGAUAUAUCACAUCCGUCUGAGGAAGCAGGCCUAGAACAUGAAGAUAACAGCAAGGCCUUGAUCAUUUUGACCUUGAGCAUUUCCCCAGUCCUGGAGGCCUCAAGUAUUCCUUGCCUCCUCCACCUCCCAAACUCUUGGCUUCUCAGAUAUCCCUUCUACUGUUUCCGGCUGCCUCUGCUCUGAGGGUUCGCAGCCUCAGUUGGAAGUCCACGGUGCACCACCUUGAUGACCUUGCAGUACUUGAACACUUACCCCUUCCUCGCUCCUCACUGUUUCUCCUCUGAAAUGGAAGACGAUCCCCGAGAGUAGUCUGGAUCUUUCUGUUUUUCUAAAGCUGUUUGAAGCAACUUCACAAAUACAGCCCCUGGGGACCGGGUUGAGGGCGAGCAAUCUUUGUUUGAUGUUCGUCAGUUCUCGGAGCUCUGUCAUUGGCUGAGGAAGGCAUCUGACGACAUCAGCAGUCUCACAGUCAGGGAAGGGGUCUCUGUCUUUCUCAAGGCACUUCUGUGAGAAAUUUGGGGCCGAGUUUCAGAGCCUCUGCCGAUUGAUCCCAAUGGUUCGGAAAAGCAUCAAUUCCUCAGGUAGGAAAACUGCCCAAGAGCCGAUUCUGCUCUGAUGUAGCUCAGGAGACGGGGCUGCAAAUUAAAUUCUACUUUUGAAAACCUUCUGAAGCAUUUUAAAAAGGAAAAUUCCUCCAUAAGUGUGCUGACCCGUGAUUUUACUAAAAUACCUGGAGUCUUAAUUAAAUCAAUUUUUCAUCCACUUUCUAAGGUGAUCCUCUAGCGGUAUCAAUGCUUUCCCAACAGCUCUCUAAAUUUUCUGCUAAUAGUAAUGAGAUUAUGUAAAUGAAACCUUUGUUUUUGAAUUCUGACCAUAUCCCUGGUCUCUCGCCACAAUAUUUCUACCUCAUCAUGGCCUUUUACUUUGCAACACUGGAGUUUGUAGUAACCAGUCCUAAGAUGAGGCUCACCAUGUUCUCUUCCUCCAGUCAAGGGCACUUACUCAGUGCUCACGUGGCUCAAACCUGUACAGUGAAGUUGACCCUGUUGGGUCAGGAGGAGGAUAGGGUGUGGCCUGCAGGGCAUCAGAAGUCCUGUGUAUUGCUAGUGUAAGAGGUGAUAGAAACGUGAAAAGGCUGCAGGAAUCCAGAAUUCCAAGAGAGAGGUACUGAAGCAAAGAAGCAUAGGGAACAGCUGAGCUGCCAGGGUCUCCACUUGGCAUGGGCUAUAUAUUCAUUCUUCUUCUAAUAAUGCAUGUACUCUGCAAUAAAUACCUCUCUGAACAAUGUACCUAGCAACCUGUUAGCAACUGGGACUCCCAACUGCAGUGAGCUACACUCCCCCCCCCCCCCCCAAACAGUGUAAUAGCUUUCUCCUUUCCUUAAUGGCCAUCAAGCAGACAGAGUCUCCUCAAAUGUAUCCCAAUACAUUUGGGAACUAUGGACAAUGGGUCAGUCCAAUGUAGCCUGGUUCAGCGUACAUGUACAACAAGACAAACUGUGUCCUCUAGGUGAACUUUUACUCUUAUCAUUUUAUGCAUAAUUGGGCAUGCAUGUGAUUAAAUUUAGAGGAAUCAUGGGAAGGGAUGUGUACAGUUUUUAAAAAAGUUAUAUAAUUUAAUCUGUUACUCAAAAUAAGAAACCACCAGAUAUGCCCCUUAGCAACCAAACUGUUUCUUUGUUUGAACUCUAUAAAAGAAAACCAUGAAUAAUAACCAGGGCUUUUGGGUACUUGAACUCACUCGGCACAGUGUCACUUCUGACCGUAUUGAUUUCUGAGCUGUACUGUUGCCUUGCUUUGAAUAAAGUUUCCCCGCUGUUUUGCAAUA